CCUACGGGAGGCUGCAGUGAGGAAUAUUGGUCAAUGGGCGCUAGCCUGAACCAGCCAAGUAGCGUGAAGGAUGACUGCCCUCUGGGUUGUAAACUUCUUUUAUAUGGGAAUAAAGUGCAGUAUGUAUACUGCUUUGCAUGUACCUUAUGAAUAAGGAUCGGCUAACGCCGUGCCAGCAGCCGCGGUAAUAUGGAGGAUCCGAGCGUUAUCCGGAUUUAUUGGGGUUACAGGGAGCGUAGGCGGGUUGUUAAGUCAGUUGUGAAAGUUUGCGGCUCAACCGUAGAAUUGCAGUUGAUACUGGCAUCCUUGAGUACAGUAGAGGUAGGCAGAAUUCGUGGUGUAGCGGUGAAAUGCGUAGAGAUCAGGAAGAACUCCGGUGGCGAAGGCAGCCUGCUGGACUGUAACUGACGCUGAUGCUCGAAAGUGUGGGGAUCAAACAGGAUUAGAUACCCUAGUAGUC
rnacentral:rRNA from 1 species